AAACAAGAGCGCGCGCGCACACGCGCACGCAUGAUUUAAGGGCAGGAGCCUCAGGUCGCUCUCACACAGCAGCCGAAAACACCCAACAGGAGCUGCAUUUAAUGGAAAAAAUGAUGUGUUUUGAUCAUUCAGACUGUUGCUCUGUAGAGGAUCUCACCGGGAAAUCAACUUUUAUUUACUGAAAGGAACCGGAUGUGAGAUUUGCUGGAUUCUGAAAGGAGAGCUGAAAGGAUGGGUGAAAGUGAGCGAUGGUUGCAGACCCCUGUGUCUCCUCCCCACGGCAGCUGGCUGAAAAAGUGGCUAGGACGUUAUCUGCGAGCCCGGCCUGAUAUUGAACGUGCAGACUGUGCAGAUCAUGAUGUUCAUCAUUCACUCUGCUCUACAAAAGUCGUCUUUAUGGCUCUAUUUGCCCUGCUGGCCCUGGUCAUCAUGGGGCUUCUGCUUUUCUGGAACUACCAGUGCAUUAUGGUGUGGCGCAUGUGUGACGAAGACGAGGAACCUGCCUCCCCCAGUUUAGGGAAUAGAUAAGGUCUAACGAGAGUGAUUGAAAUGCAAAGAAUCUUGCAGUUAUGGAAUGAAAAUGGAUGUUAGCUGUUUAUAUACAUUUGAACUGUGUUAUUUGAGGUGUGGAACCCCUCAGGGAUGCACAGUCCUUGUAUUUAUGUUUCCGCUUCUCGAAAGUCUGGUUCAGUCUGUAAUUUUAAACUGACAAUAAGUCACUCAGUCUAGUUACUGAGCUCUAGCGUUGAGUUUAGCUUUCCAUGAAUAUAAAAACUUAGGUUUUAUUUUGUGUGUUUAAAGUUUAAAUAAAUAUACAGGGUUGGACUGAAUACUGACCCCUGAAUACUAAAUAUGUUGUUUUAAAUGUAUUCAGUAACAAAAUGCAUGAUGAUCCUUUGUGUAUUAUUGUUAGAAAAAGAGCUGUUCUGUAUUCAAAACAUUGUGAUUACUAACUACCCCAUCCUGGUUGGUGUUGCAGUGGCAGGGUGCAGGGCAGGAAUACCAGGGCGUCAGUGUAUCUCAGGUCAACACCCAUUCACACAUUCACUCACCUGAAUUUACAGCAGCCAAUUCACCUUCUGCACCCUUUCUGAACGUCUCUUCUGAAAGACAAACCAACGCAGUCUGGCAGAACCUACUUUACCAGCUCUGCCACCAACGUACUGACACCCAACAUAAUAACAUACAUACAGUACAUAUUAUAAACAAUAGGAAUGGGAGAUUCUGACAUACUGUACACAAAUAAGAGGCGCUGUGUGCACACAUUCUUAUUUUGAAUAAAAUCAUUAAUCUAUU